AUGACGUGUCCCCGUGGAAUCCGGCGCGCUCCGUGAUAACAAGGGACGCAUUCCCGGAGGAGACGGCAUUAUCUACUUACUCUGAUCCGAGCUCGGCCGAGUCUAACUCGUCUUGAUCCAUGAGAUCGCUGAGAUCUUCUCCAGUACGCUGAUCCCCAGCGCCUCCACAGACAGCUUGUCCAGAACCAGGACCCUGCACCUGCUCAGCAGAGCUGCGUUCACCUGGAACAAAGGGUUCUCCGUGGUCGCCCCCAUCAGAGUCCCUGUCCCACACUCCAUAUGAGGGAGGAAGGUAUCCUACAUACAGACAGAAAACAAGAGACGGAGAGAUUUAAAAAAAGAGAGAGACAUGGGAGGAAAAGAAGUGCUGAGCAUCCAAAAAGUGACUCAAUAUGAAGGCUCUGCAGAGAGUGGGAUUCUGGGCUAGAUGCAAUGUGGAACAGCUCAGACAAGAGGCCCAGCAGCCAUGAGAGACAGGCACCAGAGGUCCCCCUGCAGAGGACAGAGAAUGCCCACCAUGGUUGGGUGUCUCCCCCAGCCAAGGUGGCCAAGCUGAAGGUGGGCCGUCAGUGCACUGACAGCCAGAACAACAUAGCCAAGCUGGCGUUCUUCUACUACCCGGAGAGAGUGGAGACCAUGCGCUGCUUCUGGGAGCUGAAGCACAUCCAGCUGGAGGGAGGUUUUGAGGAGGUAGGCAUAAUAUAUAUGGCAGAUUUCACGUGUCCUUUUACUUUGCCACUCCCAUGAAGUUACUGGUUGACUGGCACCAUCUAGUGUUAAAGUCCCUUCCCUGCAGCAUACUGCAAUCUCUAGUCCAGAGAUUUGUUAACCCCUCGGGGGAACCUUGGCCGUUUCACAAUUCUGUUGUUGCCCUGAACUAGCUAACUUGUUUCACUUAAUCAACAGCUUGAUAACUGGUUGACAAAUUGAAUCAGGUGUGCCAGCUCUUGAAUAGUUUAAAUACAUGGAUGGGCUGGGGGUCCUCAAGGAGUCUACUGAGCUCUAGUCUACUGAGUUCCCCAAGAGUGGGCUGUAACUCGAACCCCCAGAACCAUAAAUCUAUGGAAUUAAAGAACAGAACCAAGAUGUAGUCAGUGUUUCAGCCACAGGGUGGCAUCUCUCUCAACUUUGAGAAAGAAGACAUUAUAUUGACUCGACACCCUGCUCUGCUGCACUCUAAUUUGGACUUGAUAAGAAACCGUUAUGCAGCGCCCCCCAGAGUAUGCCUUGUCAAAAAUGUGGGGCUGUAGGAGGGAAAGUUGCUUAGGCAAACAAACUAUGAAAGAAAAUAAGUGGCUACAAUUUACACUUAUUUUGUUAUUUAAUGAAAUGUUUUUUUUUUUUUAAGGACUGUUUUUUCCAAGUACCGGGGUAGCUGCAUUUAAGCCUGGCUCGGCGUUCCAAUUCAUUCCAAAUGUUUUGGGGAAGGCCCUUCCACACCGAUCUCAACAAACCAGUUAUCCACCUCGCUUUGUGCACGGGGCCAAUGUCAUGCUGAAAUAGGAAAGGGCCUUCUCCAAACUGUUGCCAUAAAGUUGUAAGCACAGAAUCAUCUAGAAUGUCAUUGUAUGCUAUAGCAUUAAGAUUUCCCAUCACUGGAACUAAGGGGCCUAGGCCGAACCAUGAAAAACAGCCUCAGACCAUCAUUCCACCUCCACACAGUUGGCACUAUGAAGCUCCCGACGAGCAGUUCUUGUGCUGACGUUGCUUCCAGAGGUAGUUUGGGACACGGUAGUGUUGCAACCAAGGGACAGAUGAUUUUACCUACGUGCUUCAGCACUCGGCAGUCCCGUUCUGUGAGCUUGUGAGGCCUACCACUUUGCAGCUGAGCCAUUGUUGCUCCUAGACGUUUCCACUUACAGUUGACCGGGGCAGCUCUAGCACUGCAGAACUUUGACGAACUG
rnacentral:lncRNA from 1 species